AAUCGGAUUCGCAGAGGCCGGAAGUCGGCGCAGGCACUUCCGGGGCGCCGGGAGACCGCUGCGGCCGCGCCCGCAGACUACGAGAGCUCCGCGGAAAAAUGUUUUACCACAUCUCCCUGGAGCACGAGAUCCUGCUGCAUCCGCGCUACUUCGGUCCCAACCUGCUCAACACGGUGAAGCAGAAGCUGUUCACAGAGGUGGAGGGGACCUGCACGGGGAAGUAUGGUUUUGUCAUUGCUGUCACCACCAUUGACAACAUUGGUGCAGGUGUGAUCCAGCCAGGCCGCGGCUUUGUCCUUUACCCAGUUAAGUACAAGGCCAUUGUCUUCCGGCCCUUUAAAGGUGAGGUCGUGGAUGCUGUGGUCACUCAGGUCAACAAGCCAAGUCAAGUCCCAUGCCUCAGUUUCUUCAUCUUGCUGUGGUCACGUGAGUCAGCGUUAAGGUGGCAAUGUGCAGUGACUGGAAGGUUGGGCUCUUCACAGAAAUCGGGCCGAUGUCAUGCUUCAUCUCUCGACAUUCCAUCCCAUCGGAGAUGGAGUUUGACCCCAAUUCCAACCCACCCUGCUACAAGACAAUGGAUGAGGACAUUGUUAUUCAGCAGGAUGAUGAGAUCCGCCUGAAGAUCGUGGGGACCCGUGUGGACAAGAAUGACAUUUUUGCGAUUGGUUCCCUGAUGGACGAUUACCUGGGGCUUGUAAGCUAAGCUUGAGGCCUCCUGCAUGCUGGGUACCGGCGAGGAAAGUGUGUGGUCCUGUGCAUCCAGCUGCUCAGGGGCACAGGCUCCUUGUCCCCAGGAGGUGCCUGCUUGUCCAUCCUGCUCUGUUACGGACCUGGGAUGCCUGUCAGUGUUGUACCCAUAAAAGGCCCUUGGUUCUCA